rnacentral:rRNA from 1 species
UACGUAGGGACCAAGCGUUGUUCGGAUUUACUGGGCGUAAAGGGCGCGUAGGCGGCGUGACAAGUCACUUGUGAAAUCUCUGGGCUUAACCCAGAACGGCCAAGUGAAACUGUUGUGCGUAGAGUGCAGAAGGGCAAUCGGAAUUCUCGGUGUAGCGGUGAAAUGCGUAGAUAUCGAGAGGAACACCAGAGGUGAAGACGGGUUGCUGGGCUGACACUGACGCUGAGGCGCGAAAGCCAGGGGAGCAAACGGG